rnacentral:rRNA from 1 species
CCCUACGGGUGGCAGCAGUGAGGAAUAUUGGUCAAUGGACGGAAGUCUGUACCAGCCCUGCCGCGUGCCGGAAGACGGCUCUAUGAGUUGUAAACUGCUUUUGUACGAGGGUAAACGCCGAUACGCGUAUCUGUCUGAAAGUCUCGUACGAAUAAGGAUCGGCUAACUCCGUGCCAGCAGCCGCGGUAAUACGGAGGAUUCAAGCGGUGUCCGGAUUUAUUGGGUGUAAAGGGUGCGUAGGCGGGCGGAUAAGUUAGAGGUUAAAUCCCGAGGCUCAACUUCGGAAUUGCCUCUGAUACUGUUCGGCUAGAGAGUAGUUGCGGUAGGCGGAAUGUAUGGUGUAGCGGGGAAAUGCUUAGAGAUCAGACAGAACACCGAUUGCGAAGGCAGCUUACCAAGCUACUUCUGACGUUGAGGCACGAAAGCGUGGGGAGCAAACAGGAUUAGAUACCCCAGUAGUC